AUUCCACCUGGAGAGGGGACGGGAGUUAGGGGGCGAGCCGGCCUGACCUGCCAAAGGCUACUGCACUAACUCAAAGUCUGGUUUCUGCUAGGCACAAGUUAAUUUCCUUAGCGAUAGCUCUUGGGCUCCAGACCCGAAGCUGGCUUCACCUUUUAAUAAAGAGGAAGGUCUAGCUGGGGAAUUCAAGGGCCCAGACUUCUUCCUUCCAGUGGCUCCACGGUGUUUCUAGAGAUCUUGUCCUGCAUUUGAUCCUCUGCACUACGCUGGAAGGUCACAGCCUCCCUAGUUCCAUCCAACGGCUCCUUCUCUGUGUGCUGGCACGCUGGGCUCACUUGGAUUCCCAAGCUGGAGGAGGUCUGGUCUAGUGGCCCUCUGAUGUGAUGGCUGUCACAUCGGUACCUUUCAACAGUUCCUACAAUCAGUAAAAGACACAGCCAUGGGAACAUAGAAACAAGUUCUCUAUGAGAGCUUCUACAACGUUACUGUGAAUGUGUGAGUAGGAUAACUCAGAAAAAAAAAAAAAAAACAAACAAACCACAAACUCGUUUACCCUGACUUUUUCUGUUUGGAAGAAGAAAGAAAUGUAUGUCAUGUUACUGAAACCACUACCUGUCAUCUCUGCUGGACUUGGCCUAAUGUGUCCCCACGAGAAAGGAAGGAGCCCAUUAUUAGAGGAGUCACUGGUGACCGGGCAGAGCUGCUCUGAAAAUGACAGCUGUAAUAGACAAUUGCUGUGGGCAAGUUCAAAUGUGGGUAUUUCCCAGGAAACCUCAACCAUUCAGAUCUUGCUCGCUAUAAUGGUUUAUUUCAAAAGUUCUGGAUCCUUUGCAAUAUCUGUCUUACCCCUUGUUUUCCUAAUUAUAAAGGGAAUGGAUGUUUAUUAUAAAAUAUCUUGAAAAUACAUGCAAAUAUAAAGAAAAAAUUAAAAUGCCCAAGAAUAACCAUAGCUAACAAUUUAGU